rnacentral:rRNA from 1 species
AGAGUUUGAUCAUGGCUCAGAUUGAACGCUGGCGGCAGGCCUAACACAUGCAAGUCGAACGGUAACAUUUCUAGCUUGCUAGAAGAUGACGAGUGGCGGACGGGUGAGUAAUGCUUGGGAACUUGCCUUUGCGAGGGGGAUAACAGUUGGAAACGACUGCUAAUACCGCAUAAUGUCUUCGGACCAAACGGGGCUUCGGCUCCGGCGCAAAGAGAGGCCCAAGUGAGAUUAGCUAGUUGGUAAGGUAACGGCUUACCAAGGCGACGAUCUCUAGCUGUUCUGAGAGGAAGAUCAGCCACACUGGGACUGAGACACGGCCCAGACUCCUACGGGAGGCAGCAGUGGGGAAUAUUGCACAAUGGGGGAAACCCUGAUGCAGCCAUGCCGCGUGUGUGAAGAAGGCCUUCGGGUUGUAAAGCACUUUCAGUUGUGAGGAAAAGUUAGUAGCUAAUACCUGCUAGCCGUGACGUUAACAACAGAAGAAGCACCGGCUAACUCCGUGCCAGCAGCCGCGGUAAUACGGAGGGUGCGAGCGUUAAUCGGAAUUACUGGGCGUAAAGCGCACGCAGGCGGUUUGUUAAGCUAGAUGUGAAAGCCCCGGGCUCAACCUGGGAUGGUCAUUUAGAACUGGCAGACUAGAGUCUUGGAGAGGGGAGUGGAAUUCCAGGUGUAGCGGUGAAAUGCGUAGAUAUCUGGAGGAACAUCAGUGGCGAAGGCGACUC